AUAUCAUUGACUAAAACUGUGAUUCUUAUCUCCUGAUCACUUGUUGACUUGGAAUAUUCAAGAUUUGCUCUUUAUGGCACUAUAUAUAAACUAGAUUAGCAUCAUAUCUUCACUUCCAACUCUACUUGUGUAUUAUGACACUAUAUCUGUGCCAGAUCAACAUCUUAUCAUUGUUUUAAUGAACCCUCCCUCUUCCUAUUUUUGGCAAGGGUACCAUAUGUCUACAUUUACAGCGGCACCAUGCUUCUCAUCCUGUCAAUGCUUCUCCUAACUCUCUUCUUCCUCUUCUUUCUUUUCCACCAUUUCUUCUUGCAUGCUAAUAGCUCUAAGCGUCCUCCUGGAUGCUUUGGUUGGUUCCUGUUCAUCAGCCAGACGCUGUCCUUCAUUUCUCCGCAUGUCUCCUCCUCGAGAGGCCAGUUCCUUGAAGACAACAUUCAGCGGUAUGCCAUAUGAUCAAAUGUACGGAUUAUUAUUCUGAUCAUAUUCUGUCACUUUCUGCUUUUGAUUUUGAGAUAGCUAUGGAAACAUCUUUCAAUCACAUCUCUUUGCGCAUCCAAUGGUGGUUUCAUGCGAUGAUGAGUUCAACCAGUUCAUUCUCAACAAUGAGGAUAGACCGGUUGUAAGAUGUUAUUCCUAGAGCAUUCAUGGUGUAUUAGAAGACCUCACUCUUCUUGGCCAGACUGGAGCUUCCCACAGACGUCUCUGAGCUGUGUCGCUUUCCUUCUUCACUGCCAUGAAAACUCAGAUCUCUAGCCUCUCAGACAUCGAACAAGUUGCUCUCCAAGUCUUGAACUCAUGGAAGAUCAAGAAAACUUUGUCCUUGUUUGAUGAGGCUCGUAAGUUUGCUUUCUGUGUGACAGUCAAACAGACACUUAACCUGGAACCAGAGCAUCCAGUGACUGGAGAAACGUGUACACAUAGUUAUUGAAGAAAGGAUGGACUUUCUAGACAUAUUGCUAGCUCACAAGGAUCUAUCAAUGGAGGAGAGACAUAGCUUGGUUGUCGAUAUCCUGUUUGGAGGGUAUGAAACCACAUCUAGCCUGAUAUCGAUCAUUGUGAUGUUUCUCUCCGACAACCCAAAGGCACUGAAUGCUCUCAAGGAUGAACAGAAAUCAUUGCGGAAAGUAGGUGGUGAGAGGUUAGGAAGUGAUGAUUACAAGAAAUGCGCUUCACUCGGUGCCUCAUCAAUGAAGGGCUUCGCAUAGGGAACAUAGUGAAGUUUGUUCAUCGUCAAGUCAUCAAGCCUUUUCAGUACAAAGGAUAUGAUUUUCCUAAAGGGUGGAAGGUCCCUCCAGUGUUCAAUGCUGCUGUUCAUUUGGACUCCUCUCUCUAUCCAGAUCCCUUCAAGUUUGAUCCUUGGAGAUGGCAUUCAAGUACAUGGAGGACAAGGUCUAUGAGAGCAGAAUUCACAUUCGCUGUUAGCCUCAGACUGAUUUGCUGAACUUCUGAUGAUGGCGCAGACGC